GGGGAAUAUUGGACAAUGGGCGCAAGCCUGAUCCAGCCAUGCCGCGUGGGUGAAGAAGGCCUUCGGGUUGUAAAGCCCUUUUGUUGGGAAAGAAAAGCAGCCGGCCAAUACCCGGUUGUUCUGACGGUACCUUCAAAGGAAGCACCGGCUAACUCCGUGCCAGCAGCCGCGGUAAUACGGAGGGUGCAAGCGUUAAUCGGAAUUACUGGGCGUAAAGCGCACGUAGGCUGCUUUGUAAGUCAGGGGUGAAAUCCCACGGCUCAACCGUGGAACUGCCUUUGAUACUGCUUAGCUUGAAUCCGGGAGAGGGUGGCGGAAUUCCAGGUGUAGGAGUGAAAUCCGUAGAUAUCUGGAGGAACAUCAGUGGCGAAGGCGACUUGCUGGACAUUAACUGACGCUGAGGCGCGAAAGCGUGGGGAGCAAACA
rnacentral:rRNA from 1 species